GCAGGCCAGGUGCUGGUCUGUGGAUACUGGUCCCAAACUGUACUACAGGUGGGCUGGGAGGGAGAGAGUAAGCUGGCUAAUCUUGCUACUCAGAGAGAUGGAGUGAUGUUGCCACGGUCAGUCUGCUACAGCAGCACCACAUCAUCCAUCAUUGUGGGACAGGAAUGGAGUGACAACAUCCUGGUGUUCAGAGUGGAAUAGUGUGUACAUUUGCUGCUGGGUCGGGUCAACGAUGCUGAGGAUGUGGGGGACAAGCAUGACGCAGAAGGAGAGCACCAGCAUUAAUAUCGAGUUGGCCAAGCAACAGCACCAGUCUGGCCUGCAGGAGCCCCAAUACAGAACUAUCCUUUCCUUCCCCUGAUCCCUAGCUUCUCCCACUGGACCACCAGCCUCAAAGGGUCAGCAUCGUUACACAAGUCUGUGCAAUAAAUCCUCAGCACGUCAAGUUUUCACGCGCUGUUAUGAACAACCGAAAUAUCCGUGUCGAAAUUUCCCCAAGCAAGCCCGAGUAGUUUUGUUUAGCUCUAGUGCCAGAGUGGGAUGAGUGUUACAGAAGCGAGACGUUAUAGCAGUACAUAUGGUAACGCUAACAGUUAACGCAAACAGUUAGUUCCUGCUGUGGACAUCACGAAGAAUCUCACGAAGGAUUAAACGUUGAAUAGUUUGUUUAAUUCUUUAUAAGACAGCUAUAUAUUCAGCAAGGAACGAGAGAAAAAAAGGAACAAUUGAAAUGAUUCAUUCAGAUGUAUAUCUGCUGUAGAUAGUUAGGACAGUAGUAGCGUUACAGACUGUCCUCAGCGCACAAUAUAUUCAUGUGGUGCACCACAGACGCAAAUUCCCCCCAUUAUUGAAAACAAGUUGCUAAAAGUAAACACGUCCGGUUAUGUACUCCGAGCCCAAAGGGCAUUGCAUUGAAUUGGGACUAAAGAAGGCUAAAAAACUUGACACCGGUUUUGUUGUAUGCUCCAGUACACCCUUCGACUCUCAGCCCGAAGUUAAUCAGAACUCAAACUCGGCCCUUAACAAUAUCCGCGAGGCCAGCAUAUCAGCUCAGCUUCUGAGCUUCAGCAACUGCUAAGCUCAGAAGACCAAGGAGUAGUGAAAGGCUCAGCCAAGUCAAAGUCCAGCGAUGUGAGGGUGAGACAGCCUUCCCAUGUCCUCGUAUUGCAACAUGAAGGACAUUUUAGCUGAAACUAACAAGGGAGAGAACUGUAGAUCUGCACCAGCACAGAGCACCAGCAUUGAUAUCGAGUUGGCCCAGCAACCGCACGAGUCCCGCCUGCAGGAGCCCCAGUCCAGAACAACCCUUCCCCUCCCCUGACUUCUAACUCCUUCCCCUUGACCUCCUGACUGAAAAACUCAGCAUCGUUGAACAACUCCGUUCUGCAGGAAAUUCUGAGCAUGAUUCUGGUCAAACGUCGAGUUGUCCACACAUAAGCCUGGGUAGUUUUGUUAAGCUAGAGUUCCGCGUGGGCCUGAGAGGGACAAGUUUUACAGACACGAAAAGUUAUAGCAGUAGUUAUGGUAACGCUAACAGUCAGUUGUUGCUGUUGGACAUCACAACAAAUAUCCUGAAGAACAAAAAGUUCAAUAACUUGUUCCAAUCUUUAUGGGACAAACAGAAAUUGAACGGGAGAAAAUCAAGGAACAAUAAAAGCGUAAGCUUUCCUAGUGGGAUGCUUCUGCUGUUGAUAGUUUAGACGACAGUAGGGUUACGGACUGCCCCAGAUUGUCCAUUCAGCGGCCAAAAUAUCAUAAUAGAACGGACUUUUGGCAAUAUUACCGACAAAGAAAGGCAGUAAUGACUUGGUUGUGAAUACCCAGAGCACGAUACAUCCAUGCUGACACAAAAAGGCAGUAAUGACUUAGUGGUGAAAACCCAGAGCAUGCUACAUCCAUGCUGACACAGAAAGGCAGUAAUGACUAUGCUGUGAACACCCAGAGCAUGCUACAUCCAUGCUGACACAGAAAGGCAGUAAUGACUAUGCUGUGAACACCCAGAGCAUGCUACAUCCAUGCGGAAACAGAAAGGCAGUCACGACUAUGCUGUGAACACCCAGAGCACAAUAUAUCCAUGCUGACACAGAAUGGCAGUAAUGACUAUGCAGUGAACACCCAGAGCAAGAUAUAUCCAUGCUGACACAGAAAAGCAGUAAUGACUAUGCUGUGAACACCCAGAGCACAAUACAUCAUUUGCUGACACAGAAAGGCAGUAAUGACUUGGCUCUGAACACAGAGCACAAUACAUCCAUGCUGACACAGAAAGGCAGUAAUGACUUGGCUGUGAACACAGAGCAACAUACAUCCGUGCUGACACAGAAAGGCAGUAAUGACUUGGCUGUGAACACAGAGCUUAAUAUAUCCAUGCUGACACAGAAAGGCAGUAAUGACUUGACUGUGAACACAGAGCACAAUACAUCCAUGCUGACACAGAAAGGCAAUUAUGACUUGGUUGUGAACACAGAGCACAAUACAUCCUUGUUGACACAGAAAAGCAGUAAUGACUUUGCUGUGAACUCAGAGUACGAUACAUCCAUGCUGACACAGAAAGGCAGUAAUGACUUGGAUGUAAACACCCAGAGCACAAUACAUCCAUACUGACACAGAAAGACAGUAAAGACUUGGUUGUAAACACCCAGAGCACAAUACAUCCAUGAUGACACAGAAAGGCAGUAAAGACCUUGUUGUAAACACUAAGAGAUCCAUACAUACAUGGGGUGUGCCACAGCCGCAAAUUACGCCAACUAUUGUGAACAAGGUGCUUAAAGUGAACAUGUCUGGGUUUGGUAUGAGGACUUAGCACUCCAAGCCCAGAAGGCCUCGCAUUGAAUUGAUGCAAGAGAAGGCUUUGAAAAAUAUUAGCAGUUUUGUUGUGUGGUCCAGUACGCCCUUCGACUCUCAACCUGAAGAAAGCAGAACUCAAACUCGGCUCUUAGCAAUAUCAGCAAGGCCAGCAUGUCAUCUCCGCUUCUUGAGCUUCAGUGAACUUUACUAGCAAACAUGACAAACGUCAUUGAAAUGAAAGUCGAUGACAACCCCCUUCUUGCACAAAUACUACAACUUGCUGAAGAAAAUCAGCAUGAAGACGUCUUGCGUCAGACUACCAAGCCUCCUAUCAAUAUAUCCUCCCAUGUUGGCUACAUCAACACUUCCAACAGCAGAGCCUUGGUGAGUUUGACUUCCGUCUCAGCAUCCAUGUCGCUUAGCAACAAUUGAAUGAUGGGCGUCGACAAAUUAGGCCGGACAAGUCGCUAGAACUGAAACCAACUGAUCCAACAGGUAGAGCAGGCGUUGCGUGACACGUUGGUUAAUGUGACUGACCUCGAUAUGUUGUUCUCGAAUAAUGUGAACCUUAGGCCUGGAGAGCAGUAUGCAAUUGACGCCAUUCAACAACAGUUGUUGUCAGCAAUUCUCAGGUUUAAGGGUGGCGACUUCGGCGUCGGGACUCACACCAUCUCUGUCUAUGGCCCAGUCACAGCAGCAGCAGCAGCAACAAGAACAAUAAGUAGUAUCUUAGCGGUGUUCUGGGAUAUGGGGCUUCAUGUAUGUGCUUAAAUUGUCAUUCCAGAUUAGCCUGUGCAGACUGCACAUGCAUUAAGUCCUAUUAAAGUGUCAUUCCAGAUUAGCCUGUGCAGACUGCACAUACAUUAAGUCCUAUUAAAGUGUCAUCCCAGAUUAGCCUGUGCAGACUGCACAUACAUUAAGCCCUAUUAAAGUGUCAUUCCAGAUUAGCCUGUGCAGACUGCACAUACAUUAAGUCCUAUUAAAGUGUCAUCCCAGAUUAGCCUGUGCAGACUGCACAUACAUUAAGUCCUAUUAAAGUGUCAUCCCAGAUUAGCCUGUGCAGACUGCACAUACAUUAAGCCCUAUUAAAGUGUCAUUCCAGAUUAGCCUGUGCAGACUGCACAUACAUUAAGUCCUAUUAAAGUGUCAUCCCAGAUUAGCCUGUGCAGACUGUUCAUACAUUAAGCCCUAUUAAAGUGUCAUCCCAGAUUAGCCUGUGCAGACUGUUCAUACAUUAAGCCCUAUUAAAGUGUCAUCCCUGAUUAGCCUGUGCAGACUGCACCUACAUUAAGUCCUAUUAAAGUGUCAUCCCAGAUUAGCCUGUGCAGACUGCACCUACAUUAAGUCCUAUUAAAGUGUCAUCCCAGAUUAGCCUGUGCAGACUGUUCAUACAUUAAGCCCUAUUAAAGUGUCAUCCCUGAUUAGCCUGUGCAGACUGCACCUACAUUAAGUCCUAUUAAAGUGUCAUCCCAGAUUAGCCUGUGCAGACUGCACCUACAUUAAAUCCUAUUAAAGUGUCAUCCCAGAUUAGCCUGUGCAGACUGAGCAUACAUUUAUCUGAGAAUGAGGCUCAUAUAGUUCACUUAACGUCAGUCCUUUUUCUGCCUGAUUGAGGAAAAGUUCCUAGCAUAAAAUGUGAAUUCUCUGAUUUUAAAUUUAUCAAACUUGGUAAAUAAAAAGCAAAUAAAAGUUAAUCUGAUAUCAGUUUUAAUCAAAGGUCAGGGCAUAGUUGUGUCUAUUUUACUGCUGAAAUUUAGCCCUUGAACAACAGUUUCUCCUUGCAAUAAAAAAAUCCACUUUAAUUAUUAAAUUCUAUUAAAUUUAAGUAAAACAAUUAUUUAAUGCCUUCAGCACAUUAUGAAAUUAUUAUCUUCAUUUAUUUUCAAUAUUUAUUUAAAUUGCCGAUUUUUGUUUUAAGAGCUAGUUCCUAGCAAUCAUAGAUCGGUACCCUGCUGAAAAACAGGAUCUCUGGUCAGCUGGGCCCAGAUGCCCAGCAACACUUCCUGGCCCAGGACCUUGGGGCAAAUGCUCAACAUGUCCUAGCUGCAUGGUGAAGCCAGUCUAAUUCUUGGGCUCCAAACUCUCCUGAUGUGGCGCCAAGUUUACCUCAUCCAUAAGAGGGCUUAUACUCACAAGUUCAGGCCCAGAGAACGGUGUUCCCCAACUACAACACAACCAGUACGUCUCAAUAGGUCAAGGGUCACCCCACAACGUUGAGUGCCUAGCGAUGAAAUCAUCCACCGUUACAUGUAGUUGAAAACCUGGAUAGCAGAGCAAUGAGUAUAUCUCAGGAGCAUUUGCAGUCACAGCAAGUGAACCAGCGGCAGUCAUCGUCUCUAGAUUCCGAGAUCCCCUUGCUUCACAACCCUCAGUCUAUGAACAUCAUGCAUAGCAAACCUUGGAUGUCCAUUGACGAAAUCAAACCGGCAAAUCAGAAGGACAGCCUGUUGCUACAGUUGUUAUCAUAUUAACCCCAGUCAUACCGAAGAAGCUCAGAGAUAUAAAUGCUGUUUAAGAUGUGCUAGUUUCUGCAUACUCCAUGUCUGGUGUGAACAUGUACAAAUGAAAGUCUCUACAUACCCCAUGUCUGAUGUGAACAUGUACAAAUGAAAGUCGCUACAUACCCCAUGUCUGAUGUGAACAUGUACAAUUGAAGGUCUCUGCAUACUCCAUGUCUGGUGUGAACAUGUACAAUUGAAAGUCUCUACAUACUCCAUGUUUGAUGUGAACAUGUACAAUUGAAGGUCUCUACAUACCCCAUGUCUGGUGUGAACAUGUACAAUUGAAGGUCUCUACAUACCCCAUGUCUGAUGUGAACAUGUACAAUUGAAGGUCUCUACAUACCCCAUGUCUGGUGUGAACAUGUACAAUUGAAGGACUCUAAAUACCCCAUGUCUGGUGUGAACAUGUACAAUUGAAGGUCUCUACAUACCCCAUGUCUGGUGUGAACAUGUACAAUUGAAGGUCUCUACAUACCCCAUGUCUGAUGUGAACAUGUACAAUUGAAGGUCUCUACAUACCCCAUGUCUGAUGUGAACAUGUACAAUUGAAGGUAUCUACAUACCCCAUGUCUGAUGUGAACAUGUACAAUUGAAGGUCUCUACAUACCCCAUGUCUGGUGUGAACAUGUACAAUUGAAGAUCUCUACAUACCCCAUGUCUGGUGUGAACAUGUACAAUUGAAGGUCUCUACAUACUCCAUGUCUGGUGUGAACAUGUACAAUUGAAGGUCUCUACAUACCCCAUGUCUGGUGUGAACAUGUACAAUUGAAGGUCUCUACAUAUCCCUUGUCUGGUGUGAACAUGUACAAUUGAAGGUCUCUACAUACCUCAUGUCUGGUGUGAACAUGUACAAUUGAAGGUCUCUACAUACCCCAUGUCUGGUGUGAACAUGUACAAUUGAAGAUCUCUACAUACCCCAUGUCUGGUGUGAACAUGUACAAUUGAAGGUCUCUACAUACCCCACGUCUUGUGUGAACAUGUACAAUUGAAGGUCUCUACAUACUCCAUGUCUGGUGUGAACAUGUACAAUUGAAGGUCUCUACAUACCCCAUGUCUGGUGUGAACAUGUACAAUUGAAGGUCUCUACAUACCCCACGUCUUGUGUGAACAUGUACAAUUGAAGGUCUCAUCUUUGAAUUUGGGACAGGUGGAAAAUUAGUGACUUGAUUCAGACAAAAAUCUCAUAAUGACAAAUCCCAACAAAAAGUGGAAAGCCAGAAAGUCUUGUGGCCAGCCAUGUUUUUAUGUGACCAUCCCAGUUGUGUUCAAGGAAAAACAAAAGUUCAUGUUUUAUUGGAACUAUUAUGUUGUCAGUCAUUUUAUGUUGAAGGCUUUUAUUAACUAUAUUUAAAUUUAAUAAGAUUAAGAUUACUUGAUAAAAGCAAUAAUGUAAGAUAUUAUUUUAAGCGCAAAAUUAGCUUUGUACUUUGUCUGUUUUGUGAAAUUUUAUUUUGGAAAUGUUAAGGAAAAUAUAAUGCUAGUAAAUAUAUGUCUAUGCAUGUUGAAUUUAACAUUUGUCAAACUGUUUUAAUGAUGCUUGUAACUUUGACAAAAUUGAAAAAAAUGUAUUGUUUUCAUGUAAUGACACAUGUUUUUUUUUGCUAAACCUGUACUAUAGAGGUCAUAGUUACAAGAAUUGUUCAGACAGGUGGAGAAUGUUUAUGCUAUGGCUUUGAUACUCUUCAGUGUGCCUAUUGGUGUCAGUGUUUUUAUCAAUAAUGUUGUUUAUUGUCUUACUAUUUCUUGAAAAUAUUGAUUAAUUUCAGACAAAAACAUUUAAUCUUCCUUAAAUUGUCUAUUCUGUAUUUACUACCAGUUAUUUAAUUAUUUGCUUGAACAUGAUUUAAAAAUGACUUUUUUGUGACUUAAAAUGCUUUAAAUGUUUUGAAACUGAGUGUUUAAAAACGAAAAUAUGAGAUGUGGGGAUAAUGGCAAAGUUAUGAUCUGAUUGUUUUUUGUUUUUGUAAGGUUUAUUAUGCUUUAUAUGUUUGUUUAUAGACGAGAUUAACUUGGCCAAGAAAUCUUCAUCACUGUAUAUAUUGGUCAGUACAUUUGUCAUUUGUAUUUGUAUAUAGAGCGAUAGCGAAAUGGUUGUAUUUACAAUGUAAAUCAUGCAUUUAUUGUUGCCAUUUUGACUUUCGCUGUAAACAUUCAUUUGUACAAACAAUUUUCAUCCUGUACAUCUUUUAGAUGCCAGAUAAUAAAAACAAACAUUGCUUGUGGAGAUGCUCAUUUAAAACUUUCUUAAUGAUACAGAACAACACAUUCUGAAGAGGCAAAUCCUUUAGACAAUAGGAACAUCUUGUUACUAGUAUAUGUAAUGCCUUUCACUAAAUAAAGUCAAGCAACUAUCGAAAGAUUGGUUUAACUUUAUUUUGCAUUAUCUUAAGAAAAAUUAAUAUAUUCUACUUGGAAAUCAGUCAAUUGCAAAUCAAGCGAGAGUGAUGAAAUAUGCUAACACUUGUCAAUAAUUGAAUUGUCUCUCUUUGUACAUAAAUAUAGGGAUGUUGUUGCUUGAAAAACAAAGUUGUAUCCGUUGUUAGAUAAUGCUUUUGUUUAUCUCUCAACAUAACAAGUACAUUCAUUUGUUCAUCUCUCAACAUAACAAGUACAUUCAUACAGUUAUUAAAAAUAUGACACUCUUAAUUCUCAGCCAUCAGUUUGUAUUGGGAUGUUGUGGAAUACUUAAUUACUAAACUAAUAUACGUCUGUUUAAUGAAUGAAUAGCUAUGGUACAAUAUGAUACUCAGUGUUACAAAACAUGUGUAAUAAAAAUAUAAUGUCAUUUAUUUGAAAUCAUAAAAUUUAGUUGUCCAUACAAUGCUUACAGUUUUGCAAUUGCGAUGAUAAAGGAAAUGUUCUGCUCAAAAUGUCUUUUUAAGACAUGUGAAAAUUGUAGCAAUCAUAUUGUUCUUGUAUUUAUAUUAUACAUUAUAAGAAUUUACUUACAGCUGAUGAUAGCGGCAGUUUACUAUUUGUGUUACAGUUUGUUCCACUCGACCAUCAGACCAUAUUUCCUUAAAAAUGUGAUUGUUAAUAUUGAACUGUAAUUGAAUGCAUGAAACAUGAUUUUUCUGUUGCUUAACAGCUGAAAAUAGCUUGAUGUUUGUAAAACUGUAUGAAAUGUUUCAAAUAAAUCAUUUUGAUUACAUAAAAAAAUAAAAUUACAUUUUGCGUUACUUUGAAUGCAUAACAAACAAUUGUUACCAUACAAUCAUAUUAGUAUUGAACUUAAUUAAUACUUUAACUUUAAGAUGCGAUUUUUACAAUAAUGUGUUAAUAUUUUCAUCCAUUCCAAAUAAGCAUUGUGCAUUAGUAAAUAUAGGGUGUAUAUACACUGCUUAGAUGCCUUUUUUAAAUUGCUUGUGUACGUCAUAUUGAUUAAAGACUCUUAUGUAUUGCAUAUUUGUGUGUGCCAAUGUCUUACUUAUUUCUUCACAGUCCUUAAAUUACUGCAAAUAGUACUUUAAGAAUGUUAAAAUAUUUAUCUUAACCCUUUCAGUGCGGGAACCUAAUUUUGAAGGCCUUUGCAAACAGUUUGGAUCCAGAUGAGACGCCACAGAACGUGGCGUCUCAUCAGGAUCCAAACUGUUUGCUAUUCUGAUAGUAUUCUUUGAAAAAAAUCGAAGAAAAUGCUAAUUUUAGAAAUUCAGCAGACGACAUUUUAGCAGACGACAAAUUUCCCAGCAUGCAAAGGGUUAACUAUAAACAGGUUAUCUGUUAAUUUAAGUUUCAUACAUAAUAUUUAGUGCUAAUAAAUCAGCACUAUUUAUUGAUUUUUUAUAUGGGCACUUCCCAUGACUUUAUUCGUGAAUAUUUCUUUGAAUGUGCGGUAGGGAAAACAUUGUUUGCUUGAAGGUUAGAAACUUAAUGUUGACAUCUUGAAAGAUGGCAGUAAACAUUUAACUGCAGAGUAGCUGGGAAAAAGAUUGCUGUUAAACAAUGUUAGACAGAACUCCACGCAAGAUAUGUCAUGCAUGCGAUAUGCAUGAACUAUCUUUUUAAAAUAAUUUGGAUCUGAAUUAUUUUUAAGAAAUGGUAUGGUUAUGAGGGUCUCUAUGUGCAAAAUGUUGCAUUUAUUUAGUGUACAAGUUAUUGCUUAAACAUUGAAUUUGUUGUAGAAAUAAUAUAGUUUAUGUGACUUAAAGAGAUAUACAUGUUUAUGUUAGUGAUGUGUUUUUGCUGAUCCAAGUCUGUUCCUGCACACUAUUUAAAGUAGAUUACUACAAGUUAUCUCAUUUAAAUGGGAAAAGUAUUGUACUGUGAAAAAGUGUUGUGAGUUCAAAUAAAAAUACUAUGAACCGU